CCCUUAGAUGUUCUGGGCCGCACGCGCGCUACACUGAUGCAUUCAACGAGUCCAACCUUGACCGAGAGGUCCGGGUAAUCUUUGAAACUGCAUCGUGAUGGGGCUAGAUUAUUGCAAUUAUUAAUCUUCAACGAGGAAUGCCUAGUAAGCGUGAUUCAUCAAAUCGCGUUGAUUACGUCCCUGCCCUUUGUACACACCGCCCGUCGCUCCUACCGAUUGAGUGUGUUGGUGAGGAGUUUGGAUUGGCCUCGGAAGGUGGUUCGCCACCGUCCGUAGCUGAGAAGUUCUCCAAACCGCCCCACUUAGAGGAAGGAGAAGUCGUAACU
rnacentral:rRNA from 1 species